rnacentral:rRNA from 1 species
GGAACACAGGUGCUGCAUGGCUGUCGUCAGCUCGUGUCGUGAGAUGUUGGGUUAAGUCCCGCAACGAGCGCAACCCUUAUCAUUAGUUGCUACGCAAGGGCACUCUAAUGAGACUGCCGGUGACAAACCGGAGGAAGGUGGGGAUGACGUCAAGUCCUCAUGGCCCUUAUGGGUAGGGCUUCACACGUCAUACAAUGGUCGGUACAGAGGGUUGCCAAGCCGCGAGGUGGAGCCAAUCCCAGAAAGCCGAUCGUAGUCCGGAUUGUUCUCUGCAACUCGAGAGCAUGAAGUCGGAAUCGCUAGUAAUCGCGGAUCAGCAUGUCGCGGUGAAUACGUUCCCGGGUCUUGUACACACCGCCCGUCACACCAUGGGAGUGGAAUCUGGCAGAAGUAGGUAGCCUAACCCGCGAGGAGGGCGCUA